AUAUUUACUGGGAUUAGAUACCCCACUAUGCCAAACCGUAAAAAAUUAAUUUACAUCUGCAAACGCCAGGGUACUACGAGCCAUAGCUUGAAACCCAAAGGACUUGACGGUGUCCCAUCCAACUAGAGGAGCCUGUUCUGUAAUCGAUAAUCCACGAUAAACCUAACCAUUUCUUGCCCAUCAGCCUGUAUACCUCCGUCGCAAGCUCACCGUAUGAACGCACAACAUUGGGCCAAAUGGUCUUUCACCAUAACGUCAGGUCAAGGUGCAGCUAAUGAAAUGGAAGAGAUGGGCUACAAUUUCUAAACUAGAACAAACGAAAUACUACAUGAAACAUAGUCAUGAAGGUGGAUUUAGCAGUAAGUAGAAAAUAGAGAGUCUACUAUCGUUAUCC
rnacentral:rRNA from 1 species